CCUACGGGUGGCAGCAGUGAGGAAUAUUGGUCAAUGGGCGCGAGCCUGAACCAGCCAAGCCGCGUGAAGGAUGACUGCCCUACGGGUUGUAAACUUCUUUUAUAAAGGAAUAAAGUGAGGUACGUGUGCCUUUUUGUAAGUACUUUACGAAUAAGGAUCGGCUAACUCCGUGCCAGCAGCCGCGGUAAUACGGAGGAUCCGAGCGUUAUCCGGAUUUAUUGGGUUUAAAGGGUGCGUAGAUGGGUUGUUAAGUCAGAUGUGAAAGUUUGCGGCUCAACCGUGAAAUUGCAAUUGAUACUGGCAGUCUUGAGUACAGUUGAGGUAGGCGGAAUGCAUGGUGUAGCGGUGAAAUGCUUAGAGAUCACACAGAACUCCGAUUGCGAAGGCAGCUUACUAAACUGCCACUGACAUUGAUGCACGAAAGUGUGGGGAGCAAACAGGAUUAGAUACCCGUGUAGUC
rnacentral:rRNA from 1 species